rnacentral:rRNA from 1 species
UAACGACUCUCGGCAACGGAUAUCUCGGCUCUCGCAUCGAUGAAGAACGUAGCGAAAUGCGAUACUUGGUGUGAAUUGCAGAAUCCCGUGAACCAUCGAGUCUUUGAACGCAAGUUGCGCCCGAAGCCAUUAGGUCAAGGGCACGUCUGCCUGGGCGUCUCACAUU